AGUGAACGCUGGCGGUAGGCCUAACACAUGCAAGUCGAACGGCAGCACAGUGAGAGCUUGCUCUUACGGGUGGCGAGUGGCGGACGGGUGAGGAAUACAUCGGAAUCUACUUUUUCGUGGGGGAUAACGUAGGGAAACUUACGCUAAUACCGCAUACGACCUACGGGUGAAAGCAGGGGAUCUUCGGGCCUUGCGCGAUUGAAUGAGCCGAUGUCGGAUUAGCUAGUUGGCGGGGUAAAGGCCCACCAAGGCGACGAUCCGUAGCUGGUCUGAGAGGAUGAUCAGCCACACUGGAACUGAGACACGGUCCAGACUCCUACGGGAGGCAGCAGUGGGGAAUAUUGGACAAUGGGCGCAAGCCUGAUCCAGCCGUACCGCGUGGGUGAAGAAGGCCUUCGGGUUGUAAAGCCCUUUUGUUGGGAAAGAAAAGCAGCAGGUUAAUACCCCGCUGUUCUGACGGUACCCAAAGAAUAAGCACCGGCUAACUUCGUG
rnacentral:rRNA from 1 species